CGAAAGCCGGACCUCCCCUGCUGCUUCGCCACCUUUGAUCGGAACCGGGAAGCCAACCUAGGAGCGGCCUUUACCCCCCUCUCCCGGGGGAUCAAGAAUAAUGUCUUCCGACUGGCCACGGCGGCGGUUCUGCUGCGAUGGAAGCCGCCUGCCGUGGCUCAAGCCGUGGGAGCGAAAGGGCAGCGCUCUGGUCCGUCGCUCUCGGCUUGAAAGAGUUCCCUGGGCUGAAGCAGCGAAGCCACCGGGAAAGAAAGCCCGUCCUAACAACCAUCCGGGCCAGAGCUGACCCAUAUUAGAAACUGCUUGCUGAAUCCUCUCCACCAUAUGUUCAAAGGCAAGGAGUGUCUGCUGUGCCCAGCAGCUGUAUUUGUAUACUUGAAAAUACUAUUUGCAGCUGCAGGAAUCCUCUUCUGCCAGAAGUAAAGCAGAUUCAGGAUGGAACUAUUUGGAAAUCUCUUGUCAUCAUUUACUUGGUACAGUCCCGACGACUAACAUGAUCAGGAUUGUUGAGAGCUAUUGCUGUCACAGUUUUGAUACUGCUGCUCAUUACUCUGGAUAUCCGGUGCUGAUAACUCAUUUUUCCGUCUCUCUCUCUCUAAUAUGGCCUGUUCUGCUCUCAAACUAUACAUGGAAUUUUUUACUUCAGCUUUUAUUACAGACACAUACCCUCAAACCUUUGCUGUCAUUAUGAACACUUGAAAGCCACUUGAUUUUAACAACUGAGUAUCCCAGAGUAAAGGCAAUAAAUUUUUGUCAUAGUACAUAGUGA